rnacentral:tRNA from 1 species
GCCUGGGUGGCUCAGUCGGUUAAGCAUCCGACUUUGGCUCAGGUCAUGAUCUCGCGGUCCGUGGGUUCGAGCCCCGCAUCGGGCU